GGCUAGCGGCCAGGGACUAGGGAGUAGGGACUAGGGAGAUACCUCAACCUCAGUCAGUCAAGCUUUGAGACCUCAUUCGUUCACACACAUUACAUACACAUUAAAAAGAUUGAAGAUGCCUAGUGCUAAGGUAGCAGCUAAGAAGAAGGCGGAGGCGAAGAAGAAUGAUGCUCUAGGAGUCAAGAAAACAACAAAAACAAAGAAAGCUUCCAAAAAGGCGGAGAAGAAGAAGGCAGUCAAGGCCACCAAGGCAGUGAAGGCCGCCAAGCCUAAGGCAGAGAAGAAGGCCAAGAAGGCAGCUGCUGCCGUCAAGAAAUGAGAGAUAAAAGACUGACGUUACAAUUUAAAAGUACAAAUAUAGUGUAGACGAUA